GCGACAUGGCGCACCAAAACAACAUGCAACUUUCAAAACAUGCCGUUAGGAUGUUUAAACGGUACUAAAUAUACGCAUUACUAUGCAGAUGUUAAAAGAACAGAUAAGUAGAGCGAAUGGACUUGAACGAAGGAUCCAUGUUCACAUGAGAACAAGUCUUUACUGUGUCAAGUCUUUACUCAUUCUACAGAAACCUCCCAACACAAGAGCAAUAGUGCUUUUAGAAGAAUGUUAUAGCAUGAAAGAUCCAUUUAGCCCAGAGAGAGAAACAUUCCUCGUUUUAGGAUCAAAGUGCUCAAAGUAGGUCAGAUGGUGUGUGUUGGCACGGACUGCAGUCUGUUCUACACCAAAUGCUUUUGUUUGCCGUGUGCAGGAUCACCUCCAACAGUUUCCAGAACUGAUUUAAAAUGAGCUGGCAAAGAAAAAGAAUAUCCAUAAGACAUCCUCUUCAUAAUGUUCAAGUAGAUUUAACUGCACACACAUCUACAACCAGAGGCAGCAAAGUCACAUCACAUCCAUCGUUGGGAUUUGCAUGUCAUUCUUCUAAUCUGAUAGAGUGUUUCUGUUAGACUUUGUCUGAAACUUUUAUCCAAAGUGACUUACAUUGCAGUCAAGUUUCAGAUCUACAAUAAAUGUGUUCCCUGGGACUUGAAGAAUGAUCUUUGCAUUGUUAGUGCCAUGCUCUACCAGUUGAGCUAUAGAAACAGUUUUCAUUAAGACUUAAGCAGGCAGGAACUGUGUAACUACCUUUCUUGCAUUUCCCAAAUGUAUAAUACAUGUUUAACUUUAAUUGAAAAAAGAACAAGAGAAAUGAGAUCACGACAUGAUGCAGGCAAGACUUGAACCCAUGCUCUCAAAGGAGCAUUAAACUUUGACGUGUCUGAAGUCUGUGCACUAUCACUAUACCACAAGGCAGACUGUGUCUGGCUAGCUCUGCUAUAAAGUUUUGGCAUGCAUUAAACUGCGUUUGCUUAAAUUCAAAUUUGUAUGUCAAAAAUAAGUUCCUUCACAUUCAGAGGUAAGAGAUCUAUGGCUCACUGGUAUGAGCAUUGCCUCAUGUGUCAGAGGUUGCUGGUUCAAAUCCCAGCUGGAUCUCAGAAAUAAAAGUGCUGUGAUGAGUGGAGUUGUGUGGUGAAGGGUGCACCCAAAGAAGGGGGGGGACUGUUAGUUGGUCCCCCCCCGGCUCCUGGAGUGAUGAACAGCAGUGGUUAUGAAACAAGACACUUUAUUUUAAGUGUCUUUAAAACAGAUUACUUGAAUGUGCUUAAUUCUUGACAAACAUGCUAUCCACUACAGAUGCAAUGUUUUCUCCAAUACUACUGACUACAGUCCCCCAAUAGUGUAGUGGGCAGCACAGCUGCUAUGUGUUCUUUUGACAGAAAGAUUGUGAG